rnacentral:rRNA from 1 species
GCUUUGUGACAUACCUAUAACUGUUGCUUCGGCGGGUAGGGUCUCCGCGACCCUCCCGGCCUCCCGCCUCCGGGCGGGUCGGCGCCCGCCGGAGGAUAACCAAACUCUGAUUUAACGACGUUUCUUCUGAGUGGUACAAGCAAAUAAUCAAAACUUUUAACAACGGAUCUCUUGGUUCUGGCAUCGAUGAAGAACGCAGCGAAAUGCGAUAAGUAAUGUGAAUUGCAGAAUUCAGUGAAUCAUCGAAUCUUUGAACGCACAUUGCGCCCGCCAGCAUUCUGGCGGGCAUGCCUGUUCGAGCGUCAUUUCAACCCUCAAGCUCUGCUUGGUGUUGGGGCCCUACAGCUGAUGUAGGCCCUCAAAGGUAGUGGCGGACCCUCUCGGAGCCUCCUUUGCGUAGUAACUUUACGUCUCGCACUGGGAUCCGGAGGGACUCUUGCCGUAAAACCCCCAAUUUUCCAAAGGUUGACCUCGGAUCAGGU